rnacentral:misc_RNA from 1 species
GAAAUGCGAUAAGUAAUGUGAAUUGCAGAAUUCAGUGAAUCAUCGAAUCUUUGAACGCACCUUGCGCUCCUUGGUAUUCCUUGGAGCAUGCCUGUUUGAGUAUCAUGAAAUCUUCAAAGUAAAUCUUUUGUUAACUCAAUUGGUUUCUACUUUGGUAUUGGAGGUCUUUGCAGCUUCACACCUGCUCCUCUUUGUUCAUUAGCUGGAUCUCAGUGUUAUGCUUGGUUCCACUCGGCGUGAUAAGUUAUCUAUCGCUGAGGACACUGUAAAAGGUGGCCAAGGUAAAUGCAGAUGAACCGCUUCUAAUAGUCCAUUGACUUGGACAAUACUUUUAUGAUCUGAUCUCAAAUCAGGUAGGACUACCCGCUGAACUAAAGC